AUUGAACGCUGGCGGCAUGCCUUACACAUGCAGGUCGAACGGUAACGGGCCUUCGGGUGCCGACGAGUGGCGAACAGGUGAGUAAUGUAUCGGAACGUACCUUUCAGUGGGGGAUAACGUAGCGCAAGUUACGCUAAUACCGCAUAUUCUGUGAGCAGGAAAGCAGGGGAUCGCAAGACCUUGCGCUGAUUGAGCGGCCGAUAUCAGAUUAGCUAGUUGGUGAGGUAAAGGCUCACCAAGGCGACGAUCUGUAGCGGGUCUGAGAGGAUGAUCCGCCACACUGGAACUGAGACACGGUCCAGACGCCUACGGGAGGCAGCAGUGGGGAAUUUUGGACAAUGGGGGCAACCCUGAUCCAGCCAUGCCGCGUGAGUGAAGAAGGCCUUCGGGUUGUAAAGCUCUUUCGGCCGGGAAGAAAUCGUAUGGGUUAAUACCCUGUGCGGAUGACGGUACCGGCAUAAGAAGCACCGGCUAACUACGUGCCAGCAGCCGCAGUAAUAC
rnacentral:rRNA from 1 species